rnacentral:tRNA from 1 species
UUUAAUAUGGCAGAUAAGUGCAAUGGAUUUAAGCUUCAUGAAUGAAGGGUUACCUUCUAUUAAAA